rnacentral:rRNA from 1 species
AGUGAACGCUGGCGGCGUGCCUAAUACAUGCAAGUCGAACGGAAUUUAAAAGAGCUUGCUCUUUUAAAUUUAGUGGCGCACGGGUGAGUAAUAUAUAGCUAAUCUGCCCCUUGCUGGAGGACAACAGUUAGAAAUGACUGCUAAUACUCCAUACUCCUUUUUACCAUAAGAUAAAUCGGGAAAGAAUUUCGGCAAGGGAUGAGACUAUAUCGUAUCAGCUAGUCGGUGGGGUAACGGCCUACCGAGGCUAUGACGCGUAACUGGUCUGAGAGGAUGAUCAGUCACAUUGGAACUGAGACACGGUCCAAACUCCUACGGGAGACAGCAGUAGGGAAUAUUGCGCAAUGGGGGAAACCCUGACGCAGCAACGCCGCGUGGAGGAUGACACUUUUCGGAGCGUAAACUCCUUUUGUUAGGGAAG